UACGGAGGGAGCUAGCGUUGUUCGGAAUUACUGGGCGUAAAGCGCACGUAGGCGGCUUUUUAAGUCAGGGGUGAAAUCCCGGGGCUCAACCCCGGAACUGCCCUUGAAACUGGAGAGCUAGAAUCUUGGAGAGGCGAGUGGAAUUCCGAGUGUAGAGGUGAAAUUCGUAGAUAUUCGGAAGAACACCAGUGGCGAAGGCGACUCGCUGGACAAGUAUUGACGCUGAGGUGCGAAAGCGUGGGGAACAAACAGG
rnacentral:rRNA from 1 species